UCUGCAUUUCUCUCAUCUCAUUUGGGGUUUUACUGAAUGUUGUGGUUUUUGAUCCAUUUCAGAUUUUGCUUUAUGUUCCUCUACUUGUCUUGCAAAAGCAUUUCGGCCUUCAAGCUUAUCGAUCGACAAAGGUGUUUCACUGGAUUUUGAUCCAAUAGUGUAGAAGAACGACGAGAUUCAAUUGUUUGUUGUCCUAAAGUUUUCAUCAUUACUUGUGACAUUGACUGCAUUAUUUUGAGUACCCAUGGCUUUUCAUUUGUAAUAGCAUCUUCUUGUAAUUACCCACAAACCCAUCAAGCUCCCAAAGUGUCUCAACAUCAAAAGCUUCAAUCUCAUCCUGGAUGGUGGUGGUUUAUGCAUAAUUCUAUCAGGUGUCACAGUCCUCAUUCUAUCUGGAGUUGAUGAUGCUAAAACCCUCUGUCGAACAAAACCCAGUCAUUCCCUUUCCGAUUCAUCAUCAGAAAUCCCAACAACAAUGCUGCUACUUCUACUCCCACCAUUCUCGUUCUCCAUCUUCUUCAUAUCACUCUCGAAUUUCCAAUAAGCAGGUUCGAAGUUCUCAUUGAAUUGAUUAACAAGUAUUUCAGCUAAAACAUUAACUUCAUGACCUUUAGGAUUGUAUUCUAAUGCAUUGUUGAAUGUUAACCUAACAUCCGAAGCAAAUUCCAAGGGUGUUUUGUAUACAGCUUUUCUUUCACAGUACCAAGAUCCAUUGGGUUGUGAAUAAUCGAGUUAUAAUCAUGAAGCAUCAAUUUAAUUGAAUCAACUGGUUCGUUAAAGAUAUACCCAUGUUUAUGUUUCACAAGAUUUUUUAAGAAUGUACCAUAUCUCUACUUUGAUAAGCAAGCUGUUUGGUCAUUGUAAUUGUGGAGUCUUGCUAAGUACCUAAGUUGUUUGUUUUGCAUCCCUUUUCAUGUCAGAGAACUAAUUGCUGUUGAAGUUCGAGGCAGGUUACGGUAUCGUGGUUAUAGCCAGUCCAUGGAUAUAUCUCCGGGUACACGGAUUUGUACCACUAUUGUUUUGCAGUUGUGAUUUUGCUCUUGUUAAUAACAGGAAUAUUUCAACUUUCAACAGUAACCUGGUUUAUGAAGUUCAGAAUGCACAGCUGCAGUUAGCGAGCUGAGGGACAAAGAGUUGGACUUGAGGACCUUAUUCAUAAGGGGUAAAGAAUUAAGCAAUGCAAAAAGUGAGUUAGGUGAUUCAGGUCCAGUUGUAACCAAAGCUGAUAUUUCACCACAUUGUUGCUUCUU